UUAAUUUAAUAUAGGGCGAGUUACUAUCGUUUUCAAAAGUAAUCAAUGUGCCACAUUAUUUUAUAAAUAAUAUGAAGUUAUUUAACUUUUUUAACUCAUUGAGACAUUGAUCAAAAUAAUUUACAAGGAGUUGAGCAUUGAUUGGCCUUGGUAGAAGGCCCCCUUUACCUAAUUACCUAUCAAAUAUUCAAAAUACACAUAAUACUUUGUAAGAAAAAUAGAAAUCAUAACAUAAAACUCAUUAAGAGAUAAAAAUUAGACCAUUAUCCUUAUUUAAAAAAAAUUAAACCUUUUUAUAAAAAACUCACUUUUUUUUCUUUAAUAGUUGAAAUAAAAAACCUCAUAUACUCAUAAUUAAGAGAUAAAAAUUAGAACUUUCUUUAAAAAAAAUAAAAAUAAAAAAAAUUACUGUAGAAUUUUUAUCUCAAAAAAAAUAAAAUAAAAUAAAUAAAGACAAUCAAUUACCGCGAAAAUGGUGAAUUGUUUUUUUGGGUUUUUCCACUAAGAAUCAGUUACUCAUAAUUAACAACGCAAAAACCAAAAAAAAAAAAAAAAAAAAAAAAAAAAAAAAAAAAAAAGCGCAGCGAGAAACGCUUCUCUCUCUUCAAUGGGUAAUCUGCCACUGCCAGCCACCGCUGCUACCUGUGUGCCAACCUGCCGCCGCACCGUCCAUCCACCGCACUCCAGUCUCCAGCCACCGCACUCCAGUCUCUAGCCACCGCACAACCACACUCUGGACAAGUUAAUUCUUGUUUGCCAAUAACCACUGAUGUCAGGACUUACAACGAGAAAAUGCUUAACGAUGAGUUCUACAUUGGUCUAUGACAAAGAAGAGCCACUUGGAAGUAAUAUGAUGAGCUUCUUGAGGAGUUCAUGAGUGCAGUAAAGCAGAACUAUGGAGAAAAGUUCUUGUUAUACAGACUACCAACCAUAAUGCCUUCAAGCUGCUCUCAAAAUACUCAACAAGUUAUCGUGUGUUAGUUCAAUGGUGAUAUUCAGGGGACUACAUCUAUUGUCCUAACAAGAAUUCUUUUGGCACUGAAAUUAGUUGGUGGCACCUUGGCAGAACAUAGAUUUUUAUUUCUUGGACCAGGAGAGGUAAGAAUGAAACCUUUUCUUUCUUUGACGUUGAGCUCUGAGUGUAAAGUGGUUCUGAUUGAAUUACAGUGAAGCUAACAUUUUUAUUCAAUUACGGUGAAGCUGAUUCCUGUCAUAUGACAUUGUAGGCUGCCAAAGGUAAAGCACAUGGAAGAAAGAUAUAUAUUGAAGACAGAGAAAGAGAGUUGAUUUAUUGGAGCUUUAGAUUGUCUAUAGUCAAUUGACUUGUUUCCCGCUUUGGACAUUACAAUCCCUCCAUUGUAUAUACAAUUAGAUACGAACAAUUAGUGGUACUAAUAAUGUACUAGUUUGUCAAUCUAUUUAGCUUUUUUUAGGGUAGACACAUUGUGUAGUAUAUUUACUUGGAUAUUGUUUUUGGAUUUUGAUAGAUGUGUUCACAUGCGUUAUGAUAUAAAAAAUUUUACAUA